rnacentral:rRNA from 1 species
AACGAACGCUGGCGGCGUGUCUUAAGCAUGCAAGUCGAGCGGCAAGCGGUAGCAAUACCGCCUAGAGCGGCGGACUGGUGAGUAACGCGUGGGUGAUCUGCCCUUGGGAUGGGGAUAGCCAUUAGAAAUAGUGGGUAAUACCGAAUACGUUCCCCCGUGUAAAGGCGGGGGAGGAAAGGCGCUACGGCGCCACCCGAGGAUGAGCUCGCGUCCCAUUAGCUAGUUGGUGGGGUAAUGGCCUACCAAGGCGAUGAUGGGUAGCCGGCCUGAGAGGGUGUACGGCCACACUGGGACUGAGAUACGGCCCAGACUCCUACGGGAGGCUG